rnacentral:rRNA from 1 species
GACGAACGCUGGCGGCGUGCUUAACACAUGCAAGUCGAACGGAAAGGCCCUGCUUUUGUGGGGUGCUCGAGUGGCGAACGGGUGAGUAACACGUGAGUAACCUGCCCUUGACUUUGGGAUAACUUCAGGAAACUGGGGCUAAUACCGGAUAGGAGCUCCUGCUGCAUGGUGGGGGUUGGAAAGUUUCGGCGGUUGGGGAUGGACUCGCGGCUUAUCAGCUUGUUGGUGAGGUAGUGGCUUACCAAGGCUUUGACGGGUAGCCGGCCUGAGAGGGUGACCGGCCACAUUGGGACUGAGAUACGGACCAGACUCCUACGGGAGGCAGCAGUGGGGAAUAUUGCACAAUGGGCGGAAGCCUGAUGCAGCAACGCCGCGUGCGGGAUGACGGCCUUCGGGUUGUAAACCGCUUUCGCCUGUGACGAAGCGUGAGUGACGGUAAUGGGUAAAGAAGCACCGGCUAACUACGUG